rnacentral:lncRNA from 1 species
GGCCGGUGAGACCAAGGGGAGGAGAGGUGGAAGAAGCAGGAUGGGCUAGGGCCCUGGGCCCUGGGGAAAAGGUGAAGAAGGCCCGAGGGUUAACCCCUGAAAGGCGGUAAUGGGUGGGGGUGGAGAGAAGAGGGCGUACUCCGCGCAUGCGCCAGAAGCAUACUGCGGCGGUCCCGGGGAGGCCGUGCUUUAACUGGCAUCCUCGCUGUGGCUGCAGGCGCCGCUGGUUCUCUUUCGCCUUUCCAGUUCUACCUUGGCCUGUGCAGCCACCCUAGAUCCGCGAACUUUGUGCCGCCGCUCCCUCUACCCUGUCUUGCGGCGGCCAGCGCUAAGAAUUCACGCUACGACACUCGGUUCAGCCAGGAGGUGACACCAGAUGUGGUCAGAAGCCAUGCCACUGGUGAAGAGGUAUAUUGAGCCCCGCCUGGCCCAGUGAGGUUACUAGAGAAUUGGGAGAGGCUUAGAUCAACAUCCUGCACAUGGUUAUCAAAUCAGUGUGAAGUCUUGAAAAUCACCUGGGAUGCCUGUUAAAAAUGCAGAUUCCUGGGCAGCCAGAAACCUUGUCAUUGGUCAAGAGCAACACUAAGACCUACCUGUCACGUAUAUUGAGGCUUCCUGCCCAGUGGGUUCAUCAGCAAGCCAGAACGAAUCACCAUUGCCAUGGAUGUCCUUGUGAGGCAGUUGGGAAGCCUUGUCACAGAAGCUGCAAUGAAUUCUGUCAUGGCCCUGAAGUAUGCUUUGUUCCCAUGGAAAAGAACCUAACUGAAGACUGAUAGCGUGGACAUGUUUCUGGCAUCAGGGAUGAGGGAGACCCUUAAAAACAACUUGUCAAGUCCUCACCAUGAAUACCAUUGGAAUUGCAGUUGGAAUGGCACUGAAUGCAUAGAUUGAUUUUUGGAGAGCUAUCGUCUGUAUAAUCUCAUACAUGAAUGUGGUAUGUUUCUCCUUUUAUUCAGGUCUUAAGUAUUGUGUGUAUCUGUUAUACUUAUUAUCUUCAAUAUUUUUUCCUAGUUUCUGAAGGAAAUAGGCAGAUGUCCUAGGAACUGAGAUUCUGUUUCGAAAAGUACAGAAGAUGUCAUCUGCGUAGACUAGAUUCUUCAGUAUAAAAGGUCAUACAAAAUGUAUUUUUUUGGAUAUCAUGGUAACAUUACUUCCACGUGGCCCUAGGAGUCUGCCUUAUUUAUAGUGUUCCAUAUCCUUGUUUUGUAUUAAUUACAGAGAUGAUUUCUAAUACUAGGGAAAUUAUGUAGUAAGCCAUUUGUUUUUAGUGCUGCCAGCAUCCCAUCAAUUCUUCUUUCCCAUUUAGAAGUGCGUCCUCUAUACUUAAGCUUCUGGGAACUCGGUGCCCAUUGUAUACAGGAUAUGUACCCAUUGAAGACCUUCAUGCCCUCCAAUAUAAGGCUAACUUGUUGUGUUCUCACUACAAAAGUUUAGAAUCAGAGAGGUAAGAGUCCUGUUCUACCUGAUGGUUUUGUUUCAAUUUUAAGAGCACCUCUCCAAGAGGGAGCUAGAGAACAUCCAGGAUUCUGAGAGGGAUUUUGAACUUAGAUCCUAUGAGAAGCAUCAUAGGAAUUAGGGCUGUUUAGAUUGUGGGAGACAACACGUCCAAAAUAAAGAGUUUGAUAAUCUGUUUUCAGAUCUUUGAUAGAGUCAGGAAUAGUUGAUUUUUGCUGCUUUUGAAGGUAGUUCUAGUUAAUGGAUAAACAGAUUUAAGAACUGUCCACAAAGAUGACAGUAUUCUUGGAAGUGAUACCUAAUGGUUUUUCUGUGACCACUUGGAAUGGAAUUUGAGAAUCUCCCUGCAUUUUUUUUAAGAUUUUAUUUAUUUAUUUGACAGAGAGUGAGACAGCGUGAGAGAAAAUACAAGCAGGGGGAGUGGGAGAGGGAGAAGCAGGCUUCCCGCCAAACAGGGAGCCUGAUGCGGGGCUCGAUCCCAGAACCCUGGGAUCAUGACCCGAGCCGAAGGCAGAUGCUUAACAACUGAGCCAUCCAGGUGCCCCGAGAAUCUCCCUGCAUUGUAAUGAGAGGUUGGAUUACAUGCACUUAAAGGUCACAUUUGUUUCUGAGAUUCUGACUAUCUCAAUGAGGACAAAUGAAACUGAGUAUUAUUGUGUGCCUACUUCACAUGUUCCCAUUUCAUCAUCACCACAACUUUCUGAGGCAUCCCAGAGAGAGAGAAUAAAUUUGUUAGGGUAACUUAUCUAAUUAAUGGCAGAGCAUACUUCUCCAGUAUAUCUUAAUUUACAAUAUAUCUCCUCUAGUAUAUCUUGAUUCACAAGAGUAAUUCCUUAAAUUUGUAUAGCACUUUAUCAUUUGGAAACCUUUCACAAACAUGGUUUUAUUUGACCCUUAUAGAAAUUGGGUGAAUUUGGAAGAACAGAUUUCAUGUGUUUAUUUUACAAAUGGAAAAACAUGGGUUUGAAAACUCUUUGAGUUUCUCUGGGGUAGGAGGGAUUUGGGAGACCAUUCAGUACAAUCUCCAUAUUUCGCAGUUAAGGAAACUGAAUACCAGAAUUAAAAAUCAGUGUUAUUUUGUGGGUAUUCAUUGAUUUGUGUUGGAGGGAGGGGAAGAUCAGGCUAAAUGAUUUCCUGUGGGGGACAGAAGGGUUGUGUUGCUUUUAUCCAUCCUUUAGUAUACACUUGAUUAAUGCCAACUCACCACAUUAGAUUAAAUGGCAUUUUAACAAACAUUGAUCAGAGGCACUAACGGUUCAAGGAGAAAACUAAGGCUUUAGGGAGCAAGUUGUGGAAGAUACUCGGGGUCAUGAGAUCCUUCUUGGUAACCCUGAAAGCAUUUAAAGUAUUUCCUGCUCCUGGUUCAAGGGACACCUGGGAAAGCAGGGCCUGAGGGAAUGGGUUAUAUUGUUAGUUUGCAAUCAGUCUGGUAUGGAUGGGAGUGAAACCUCGGCCCCUGCCACGAUUCUGGGAGCCAAGUCACUCAUGGGUCUGUGACAUAGGCUCGGCAUGAUGGCUCCCUUGGAUAUAGCCUAGGUUGCAGAUUUAGAACCUCAGGAAUGGAAGGACCUUAAGAGCCUCAUAUCCAAGCCUGCUUAUUUCAGUUUGAUCCUAAUUCAAGUUCUUUUAAGAUAUACCCAACAAAUGGCCUUAAAUUUAUCCAGUGGGUCAGUACAAUUAGUGAUGGGGAAGUCCUUCCUAAGUCACCUUGUCUCUUUGAAGACUCACGUGCAGUACUGAGCUGAAAUGUUCUUCUAUAGCUUCAGCUUAAUCAGCAUAUUUGUAUUGUACCCCAAGUCAAAAAUAUUGCUUUAUUCUCUCUCCUGCAUCUGCAGUUUCUUCUCUCUGCUGCCUUUUGAGCUACGACACGGUGCUGGGAGAUGGGGAUAUGGAGACGAAUUUAGACACAGUCCCUGCCCUCAGGAGUUCUCAGUCUAGUGAGAGAGUUUGACAUGUACACGGAUAAUUACAACAGUAUGGUAUGCUCUACAGUGGAGGUACGUACAAGAUACUAUGGGGUUCGGAAGAGAAAUCAUUUGAUUGAGUAUGGAGAUGCCAGAGGCUGGAGGAACUGAUGCUUCAGGGGAUUCUUAAAAGAAGUAAAGCUUGACCAGGAAGAAAACAGGGAAGGACCUUUUAAGCAAAGGCAUGGACAUUGGAGAUAGAAUGAUGAAAUGGGGGGACUACGAGUAGUUCCUGAAAUUGGGUUAGAAAUGUAGGCUGAUGAUAGAUCCUUAUAUAGUAUUCCAUGAAAUGCGGAUUCCAUUUUGAGUGUUUCAGUAGGAGAUGCAUUUGAUGGUCACUCUGGCAGUACUAUAGAGUAUGUUCUGGAAGAUCUUCAAAUCCGGACAGGGAGAUUAGUGAGAAGGCUACGGUAGUAAGUAAGAUGAUAAAUGAUCUGAGGCCAGAAGGAGUGGGAGUGGAGAAGAGGACCUGACUUCUUAGAGGCUGUACAAACACGGACCUUAUAGAGGGGCCAGUUAAGGCUCUCAGACUUGGGCAAAUGUGCAUUCGCCUACCUCCAUCCCUGGCCUUGAUGAGAAAUCCCCCUCAUGUUUUCUAGAUGGGCAUUGCUCCUGGUCUCUUUUGGACCAGGGCUUGACUGGACCGUGCUUUGCAGGUUUCUCUUGGGGUGCAGCUGUAUAGGAAAUGUUGAUUCUCAGACAUCUGAACAGCUGCAGACCUCUCAUAGGAUUACUUAGUUCCUGGUCCUUCUCAUCAGUAGCUGCCCUCCCUCAUGACCACAUGUCGCCCAAAGUCAGAGCAGAGGCUCUCCUUAUCUAAAACCCACUCGGGGAAGAGGUGGCCCUCAUUGUUACUGUCUCAGUUCUGUUUUGCUUAGGGACUUGACAGUGUUUAUGGUUACACCUCCCAGUAAAACAUGUUCAGUAAUCAAAAAUCUGUAGAUGCAGUAUUCAUUUCCUCUUUCCUCAAAGCAAGAGGAACAUGUCCUUUAGAAGAUUCUCCACCUAGGGCUCAGAGUAGUGACCCUGGGGAUUCAGAGAAUGGAUUUCUGUGACUAGAACGAUUAACAGGAGAUUAUAGUUAAGUAGACCUUAGGUAUUUUCAGUGGACCCUGUGUAGGUAGCCAUCCUAGAGGGCACUAAGGGGAAGAAGGGGUGGGAGAGGAAGCUCCGAGUAGGACAGCAGAGCAGGACAGUAAGAGUUUGGGCCUUGGGACUAAAUAGCCUAGGCUCAGAUCUGCUUUUAGAUUCACCAGUGUGGUGUCAAGCAUGGUUUUUCACCUCUCUGGGGCUUUCCUUUCACUUAUGUAAAAUAGGGGUAAUAAUCUUCUUUUGCAGUGGUUUGGGGGGUGGUAAUAGCAAUGAUUUUUAAGGAUUUAAUGGGAUUGUUCAUGUAAAUUGCUUAGAACGAGUCAGAAGUAUGUCAAAUGCUGUAUCAACUAUAGUUGCUGCUGAUAAUGAUGUUGACUGUGAUUAAAAGAAGGAUUAAAAGAAGAUAGUUAACUAGAGGUGCUUAUAUUUUGCAUUGUCAAUGAAACUCUUGGGGUUCGAGGAAGAAAAGAAAAUGAACCGACGUGAAGGUUUUCAAUGGUAUGCUAGUAUGAAGUCAGUUCUCUGCCUUCUUUUUCUUCUCUGCCAAAUGGCUUGGGAAACCAGAUGAAUUUUGUCCAUGCCCUGAUCACUAAUCUAUUGCCUUUGCUCUUAUUUCCAAAUAGAAACCUGUUGAAAAGUUGUGUUACACCUGAAUAAAGCUUAUCCUAAAAAUGUAGAAAAAUGCUUUGGAGUUGGUCAAAACUGGACUUGAAACCUGACUCAACUGUUUACUAGCUGUGUGAUCUAAGGCAUGUUACUUAACCUCAUUGAACCUCAGUUGCUUCAUCUAAUAUCAUAAUUAAUUUGCAGGGUUUCUAUGAGGACAUUUGUCAAGUGUGUGUCAUAAGCACUCUAUCAAUCAUAGCUAUCAUUGUUAGUUCUUGGGAUGCUCACCACGUGACAGAGACAACAGCAGGCCCUGGUGGCUGGGAGGACGGCAUGGAUCCAACCUCAACCUGGAGUUGUGCUCU